CACAGGCUUCUGAAAAAGAAACUCAUAUGGUUUCUUGGAAAUCAAGUCUUCUUACAUGGACAUGUUUUGAAGCAUCGCUGAUCACAAGAUCAUCUGGCAUUGAAGAUCGUGUUUGCCAUGUGACCUCUGAUCAAGUCAGUGUCACGAUCUGUGCCAGAUACCUCCCAGUUACCUUCCAAAGGAAGAGGAGACCAGCCACUUUCUGAGUGAGAGUAAUUGGCCCUAGAGGGUCAUUGAUGACUUCCUCAAGACCUUUAUUAAUUACUACUUUGGCAAAAAAAUUCUGCCUGAAGCUCAGUGUUCAUAUCACACAGCAGUAGCAUUGCAUCAUCACAAGGACAAGGAAGUGCCUUCACCCCUCAGGAGACUCACGCAGUGUUUCCUGGGCUACUCUGUCCAGAGCUGGAGCCUCAGUAAUAGGGACCCUUCUUGCCUGUUGCUCUGAUGUGUACCUUCCAAGUUCAGUUCACAGCCUAUGCCUGCUGCUGAUUCUACAUACUCAGGGAGGAGCACCCUGACCUGCCAACUUCCCUCAAGCAGGCUUUCUGUACAUUUGUCAUGCUACUUCCAGUUAGCCAGAAUGUGAACACCUUUAAGGAAUUAACAAAGUUGAGUAGAAAAACAUACUCUUCACUCUAGCUAGAAAUAAGGCUUCUAUUACUGUAACAAAGGGUGGAUUUGUGAAAUACAUAUCUAGCACUCUCUGCCCAACACUCACCAGGACUCAGCUCAAAUGUCCUCUUUUUUUUCAGUUUUCAGAGGAUACCUCUGUCCAUGUUGUUGAUAGAAAUCCUUCCCUACCCAUGCUCUCUAACACAACUUGCUUAGUCUUAUAGUCUCUCCCCAUGACCAAACAAAGACCCUAGGGUGCUGUUCUCUUUCUGUUUUGCUGUUUGAGAGGGCUGUGGAGCCAGACCAGAGCCAUGACAGGUCUCUGAUAGCCCUGCAGGGACCAGGCCUUCGUUUCUGUUUACUAGAACUGGCUGGAGCUGGGCAAGCAGUUUUCGGGAAGACCAUAACUCAGGGACAAUCAAUCAGCAGGCGCCCCCCAGCCGUUUGCUAGCUAAAGAUAGCUUUUCCUACCCUGUAGCUAGAAGGUCCCUAACCACUAGAGCCUCCCACCAAUCAGCCCCCAGACUAAUUUUUCCUCCACCAAUCAGCACAGAUUAAUCCCUCCUCCCUGGAAUUCCCCUAAUUCUGCUUAGAAAGAGCUUGUGACCUUCCUUUGGGGUUGCUACUUGCCACCUCAAACCUGUUGUUGCUAAAUUGCAUACGUGACUGUUGGUCUUUGUUGGGGGCUUCUCUCGGUCCUAACACUGCUAUUUCUCCCAGGCUUCACUGUGGCUAGCACACAGUGGGGACUUACUGAAUAUAUAGUUAGUCAAACUGUGAAUGAGGAAACCAAAUGGGCAUUGUGACUAAGCAUAAGGUCUCUGAGGCACACAGUCUUUCGCUACUCCUAAUUCAAAAUCUGAUCUUGGGCAAGUGACUUACUAUAUCUCAGUUUUGACUUCAUUAUUUACAAAAAAGGGAGUAAUGGGGAGUGCAUAAGACCAUAAUACAUUGUAUACAUACAUGACAUUCACAAAAAAUAAGUAAGAAGUAUUGUAAAGUAGAGGGGUUGAGGAGCAUUGAAGGAGUUAAUACCUGGCUGUGCUUACUUCUUUGACUGUGGGAGAGCAAACACUCAAUAAAUGUUAGCUUUCACAAAU